AAGAAACCCGAAAGAGCUGUAACACCAAGAAACCUAAAAGAGCUGUAACACAAAGGAAUUCCUAAGUAAACCGCAUGAGAAAGAGCCUCGGUGUUCUGUUGUCAUUGCUGCUGGUCAGCAAAGCGCGGGACAAGUGGUGGCCCGUAUGGGGACUUCGUGUCAAAGUGACCCGUAGGAGGUUCCAGAACUCUCGACAGACAGGGUGAUCAAUUGGCAAGAGCUCGAUGUUUGGAGGGAUUCUUCCCUCAAGUCUGAGAUACCAGCAGCACAGCAAAGGACUUGAGCGGGAACUCUAGCCGGAGUCUUUCA